rnacentral:rRNA from 1 species
CGCUGACGACCGGCGCACGGGUGAGUAACGCGUAUGCAACCUACCUCUAACUGGGGCAUAGCUCUCGGAAACGGGAAUUAAUACCCCAUAAUAUCACAGAAUCUCAUGUUUUUGUGAUUAAAGCUCCGGCGGUUAGAGAUGGGCAUGCGUGCCAUUAGCUUGUUGGUGAGGUAAUAGCUCACCAAGGCUUCGAUAGCUAGGGGGUCUGAGAGGAUGAUCCCCCACACUGGUACUGAGACACGGACCAGACUCCUACGGGAGGCAGCAGUGAGGAAUAUUGGUCAAUGGACGCAAGUCUGAACCAGCCAUGCCGCGUGAAGGAUGAAUGCCCUACGGGUUGUAAACUUCUUUUAUACAGGAAGAAACUUCUGAUCGUGAUCAGAACCGACGGUACUGUACGAAUAAGCAUCGGCUAACUCCGUGCCAGCAGCCGCGGUAAUACGGAGGAUGCAAGCGUUAUCCGGAUUUAUUGGGUUUAAAGGGUGCGUAGGCGGAAAGAUUAGUCAGUGGUGAAAUCCUGCGGCUUAACCGUAGAAUUGCCAUUGAUACUGUUUUUCUUGAGUAUAGUUGAGGUGGGCGGAAUGUGUAAUGUAGCGGUGAAAUGCUUAGAUAUUACACAGAACACCGAUUGCGUAGGCAGCUCACCAAGCUAUUACUGACGCUGAGGCACGAAAGCGUGGGGAGCGAACAGGAUUAGAUACCCUGGUAGUCCACGCCGUAAACUAUGAUCACUCGUUGUUGGCGAUACACAGUCAGUGACUAAGCGAAAGCAUUAAGUGAUCCACCUGGGGAGUACGAUCGCAAGAUUGAAACUCAAAGGAAUUGACGGGGGCCCGCACAAGCGGAGGAACAUGUGGUUUAAUUCGAUGAUACGCGAGGAACCUUACCUGGGCUUAAAUGCAGGACGACAGACCGGGAAACUGGUCUUUCUUCGGACGGACUGCAAGGUGCUGCAUGGUUGUCGUCAGCUCGUGCCGUGAGGUGUCGGGUUAAGUCCCAUAACGAGCGCAACCCUUAUCGUUAGUUACCAGCGAGUUAUGUCGGGAACUCUAACGAAACUGCCGGUGUAAACCGUGAGGAAGGUGGGGAUGACGUCAAAUCAGCACGGCCCUUAUGUCCAGGGCUACACACGUGUUACAAUGGCCAGUACAAAGGGCAGCUAUCCGGCGACGGAAUGCUAAUCUCUAAAACUGGUCUCAGUUCGGAUUGAAGUCUGCAACUCGACUUCAUGAAGCUGGAUUCGCUAGUAAUCGCGCAUCAGCCAUGGCGCGGUGAAUACGUUCCCGGGCCUUGUACACACCGCCCGUCAAGCCAUGGAAGCUGGGGUACCUAAAGUCUGUAACCGCAAGGAGCGGCCUAGGGUAAAACUAGUGACUGGGGCUAAGUCGGAACAAGGUA